rnacentral:lncRNA from 1 species
UCUGGAUCCGCCACUGUGGGGUAUUCAUUUUUAUCUGUUGCUGGUAGUUUGUUUUUUUAUACAAACUCCCUAAAACAUAAAUAUCCAGUGAUCUCUAUUGCCAGAGAGUAGAGAUCAUUGGGAGUGCAGAAACAGAAUUUUUCAUAAAAGGAGGGGCACUGAGUGACAGCCAAGUGGGGUCAAUCUGUGUGUUCCUAGAUAAUCAACCAAAUUCUCCAGAGGGGAGCAGGUCCCUUGUCCCUGUAAAUAUAAUGGACACUCAUAUUUUCCCAUUACCCAAUUUGUUACUAUUGACCUCAGCUAUCGAUAGCACUGGCGGAUCUAGAAAUUUUCACAAGUGGGGGCCCACCGACUGCCUAAGAGGGGACUCGCUCCAGUGAUUCCCAAUAUAAGCAACCAAAUUUUUUCCCAAAAGGGGGGGUGGGGGCGGUCCCCCCCCCCCUAAAUCCGACUCUGGACAGAAUAUGGACACUAUAUUCUUCCCAUUGCCCAUUGACAGAACGUCUGGUGCCUGUUGGCUGUCCCUGCCUAGUCCAAAUAAUUAUGACGUCUGGCAAGGCUAUUUUAAUUUUUUUCUGGGACGCCUUCCUGACCAGUCCAAAUAAUUACGACGUCUUGGAAGGCUUUAAAUUUUUGCUUUGACGCCUUCCUGCGAUGUAAGGCGUCAAAGAAAAAAAUAUAAUAGCCUUUCAAGAUGUCAUUAUUAUUUGGAAUAGUCCCUGACCUGGUCUACAGACUACAGGUGUGUGGAAAAAUUAAUUUAUCAGAUCACAGGCCAUUCCUUAACUCCUGUCUAAUCUGAAACUUUAACUCCUCGCCAUAGUCAAGCGUGUUUUAAAUAAAUAAUAGCUCUUGCUUUGGACUUCGUCUUGAUCGACUUUCGUUACCUUUAUUAUUAGUCUCAAAACUUCCACGUGUUAAUAGUGAUGAUUCAUAUUUGGAAAUCCCCUUCUGAGAGCAUGGUUUGGCGCCGAAAGUUUCAGUAACAUGUGUUUGUUAAACCAUUUUCAAAAAAUAUUUUCGGUUAGAUUUUAGAGAAUAUUACGUUUAUAAUCUUCUUUUAAGUUUCUAACGAAA